rnacentral:rRNA from 1 species
AUGCAGUCGAGCGGAUGACAGGAGCUUGCUCCUGAAUUCAGCGGCGGACGGGUGAGUAAUGCCUAGGAAUCUGCCUGGUAGUGGGGGACAACGUUUCGAAAGGAACGCUAAUACCGCAUACGUCCUACGGGAGAAAGCAGGGGACCUUCGGGCCUUGCGCUAUCAGAUGAGCCUAGGUCGGAUUAGCUAGUUGGUGAGGUAAUGGCUCACCAAGGCGACGAUCCGUAACUGGUCUGAGAGGAUGAUCAGUCACACUGGAACUGAGACACGGUCCAGACUCCUACGGGAGGCAGCAGUGGGGAAUAUUGGACAAUGGGCGAAAGCCUGAUCCAGCCAUGCCGCGUGUGUGAAGAAGGUCUUCGGAUUGUAAAGCACUUUAAGUUGGGAGGAAGGGCAGUAACUUAAUACGUUGCUGUCUUGACGUUACCGACAGAAUAAGCACCGGCUAACUCUGUGCCAGCAGCCGCGGUAAUACAGAGGGUGCAAGCGUUAAUCGGAAUUA